GGGCGCUGAGAAGGCAGGUUGAGUCUUCCAUAAACGUACUGAUAGAGAUCUGUGUUCCGGGGCAGAGCACCAGUGGGACAGCGUUUCAUUUGUCCGUCAGCCCCAGACAUUGGGCACAAGCGACAAACGCUCAACCGGGGCCAAAGACACCUGGGACCCAAUCACUGGACACGGCGUUUUCUGUGUUCAACAACCAGGACCAGAGGAGAGAGAAGGCAGAAAGCUAAGAUUACGGCUACCGCAAUUGGCAAUGCUCUAUUUGUUUGUUUGUUUGUUUGUUUGUUUUUGGUACUGGAGAUCAAACGUGGGUCCUUUUGCCUGUGAGGCAGACAGCAAAACCACUGAGCUAAAUCCCCAGCCCUUUAUUUAUUAUUUAUUUAUGUUUUUUAGUACGGAGACAAAAGGUUACUUGUGGUUAACCAGGGAACAGCUAUCAGGUCAUACUCUUAGAUACCCUGAGGUUAUUAUAAAAAUUUGCACUACUAUUAACCCUGCUUCUUUGAUGCCUACAGGCCCAGAAAUUAGCCACUCGUGUGAACAAGUUAUCUCUCAGACAUAUGCAAGUGGGCAGGACAUCAGUGACCUGCCCCUCCAAGACCCUGAAGAGGUUUUCCUUUCUUCAUUCAACACAGCCAGUGAGCCACAGCACCCCAAGGUAGUCGGGGAGCACGUGAUCCCCAGUAGGUAGGGUCUGCAGCCCCUUCCAGCUUGAAGAAGCUACAGAAGACAGAGACCUCCACUCCCUCAGCAGCCCAUAAGGAGUCACCGGGGUCUCUCAGGGGGAAAUGAGGUAGGAGAUUAGGGCGAGGCAAAGGUGUCUGGGGAGGGUGUGGUCAUACCCAUUGUUAACUACAAGAUUUCAGACACAUGCACAGGACAGUCCCCAAAGCCUGCACAUGGACUCCUUGCAAGAAGUAGACCAGAUUUUCUUUCUUUUCUGCUUUUUAAAAAAAAUCUUUAUCGAGUUUGUUGGUACAUUUUAGGCAUACAGUACAGUUACAUUCAUCAUUGGGAUCUUGUGCCUUAACAAGACUCAUCUUGUUUCUUACUCCACCCUUCCCUGUUUACAAAGACAUUGUUUCCAUUUUCUUCCUUUUCACAUAUUUUUUCUUUCCCCUUUUUACCUUUCCCCUAUCCCUCCCACUUCCUCUACUCUUAGACCUUUUCUUCCUAUUAUACAAUAUCAACUAUAUAUUUUGAUCCUUAUUUACACUUUUAAUGUUUUAUACCAGGGAAACUAUUUGGUAUUUACACAUGUGUGACUUAUUUAUUUCACGUAAGAACAUGGCCACAAUGUGCAUCCACUUAGCUGUAAGUGCCUCUAGUUUCUCUUUCCUUAUAGCUGAGUAGUACUCCAUUUUAUACACACACACACACACACACACACACACACACACACACACAUCUUCUUUAUCCAGUCUCCAGUUGAAGGGUAAUUGGGCUGUUUCCAGAUUGGACCAGAUGGCCUCUACCUCCAGUCAGCCUGAGGCAUCAGCACAGCCUCUGAGGACCUGGAUGUAGAAGCCCUCACAGGUUUCCUCAAGAUUUGAACAGCAAAACAGAAAGGCAGCCAUGAGGAGCCUGUGCUAUCAUAACUAUCCAUGACAGCCCACACUGUUUCCCAGAUGCAGAGUGUACUCUUUCUGCAGAGCCAGUUUUGCUUAAGUAAACUUUGCUUUUGCUUUUGGGAGAAAAAUUAACUCUAUUGUAUCAAUAAUUAAUUACAUUACAUUGAAUGGAAAUUACCAAGCAUUGCGGUUAAAAGGCCAAUAUGAUCAGAAUGGACCCAAAAAGAAAAAAAUUAAGUCUCAGCUAUAAGCUACCCACAAAAUAAAACAUAAAGAUAAGACAGUUUGGGAGUAAAAGGGAAGAAAAAGACCAACUAUGCAAACAAGUAUCGUAAAAAAGCUGAAUGGCUAAAUUUGGGUCAGAUAAAAUAGACUUCAAGAGGAAUCUGUGAGCAGAGAUAAGGGGAAAUUUUAUAAUGACAAGGGGUUCAGUUCCACAUAACAAGUCUACAUGUGCCCACAGGUAAUAACAAAGCUUUAAAAUAAAUAGAUCUAAACUUAACAAAUAAAAGAAGUAGACAAAUUUAUAAACAGAAUUGGAGAUUUUAUUACCCCUCCUUAGUUACUGAUAGAGCUACUAAACAAAAAGACAGCACAAACGUAAAAGAGCCAAGUGACAUUGUCAAAUACCUAGGCCAAGUUGGCACCAGCAACUAUAGACUUCGUGUUCUUUUCAAAUUCAUUUGGAAUAUUCAUCAUAUGCUUGGCUGUCACAGGCCUAAGUAAAUUUCAAAAUAUUAAAAUAUUAUGGAGUGUGUUCUUUGACGCCAAC
rnacentral:lncRNA from 1 species